GUCACGACAGCAGCCCCUCUUGCAACUCGGCGAGAUUGCUCAGUGCCGCCCUCGUUGCCGCCUCUGCCGCUUCAUCUGUAUUUGGUUUUGCACCUGCAAGUGGACAGACAGUUUAGUGCAGUGCAACCCGGCGUUAAAUCGUCCUUGCGCCUGAAAAGGCAAAUCGACCAUUUUUUUCGCCUCGUCGGAGGAGCUGGGAGAUGUUCUGAUUUGGGAUGAAUACGGAACUGAACAUAUAAGCCUGCCACAAUGAGCAGAAAAGAAGCGUUGGCCACCCUCUUGCUGGUGGUGCUGACGACCUCCGGCUCUGCCCUCGGUCUCGACGCUGGUGAGU